AUGAUGCCCGUGUACGGCGGCGAGGUGCGGCAGCGGACGUGCCGCAUGUACUGGUGCUACCAGUGCGCGCGGGCGCUCCGCAUCAUCUCCUACCCGGCCACCGACGUCUUCUGCCCGCGCUGCUACGGCCGCUUCCUCCACGAGAUCGACCCGCCGCCGCGCCCGGCCCUCCCCCCGCCGGGCUACUUCCCGCACCACUUCGCGCCGCACCCGCACGCGUACUACCACGACGGGAACCCGCGCCGGUGGGUCGUGUACGGCGCCGCGCCCACGGUGCCCGGACGCCCGUUCCGCCAGCUGCCCCCGCCGGCGCCGGCCCCGACGCCCCCGCCUCGCCGGCGCAUGCCCUCCCCGCCGCCGGCGCCGGUGGCGCGGCGGCCGUCCACGCCCCCGGCCAUCGACCCGGGGGACUACUUCACGGGGGGCGACCUCAACCGCCUCGUGGAGGAGCUGACCCAGAACGACCGCCCCGGCCCCGCGCCGGCGCCCUCGUCGGCCAUCGACUCGCUCCCGACGGUGCGGAUCGCCGCGCAGCACCUGUCGGACGACGGCGGGUCGCAGUGCCCCGUGUGCAAGGAGGAGUUCGAGCUCGGGGAGGCCGCGCGGCAGCUGCCGUGCAAGCACGUGUACCACUCCGACUGCAUCGUGCCCUGGCUCCGCCUCCACAACUCCUGCCCCGUCUGCCGCUUCAAGCUGCCCGGCACCGGCGCCGCCUCCAGCACACGCCGCGCCAGCGGCAGCAACGGUGCAAGGAACAGAGACAGGGAGAGGGAGAGGGAGCCGGCGACGACGGUGAGGUGGGGGCCCCUGUCGUGGAUGGUGCCGGCGCGCGGGACGGAGGAGCCGGACGACGGGUGGGAGUACGGCCGGCGCGCGCACGGGCGCGGGCACGGCAGGCCCGAGGAUGGCGACGCCGGCGCUUUCUACGCGUGGUGGCGCUCUCUGUUUCUCCUCUAG
rnacentral:rRNA from 1 species